rnacentral:lncRNA from 1 species
GAUGCUGCUGGUGUUAUGCUCUGUCACUGAACUUGUGCUGUACACGCUUUCUUAGUAUUAAUAGAGUUCUUCCUUUACCAAAAAAUUUUAUAGGUUAAUUAAUUAGGUCAGUACUUUAACGUGAGUCACGUCAUGAGGCGGAGUUUUGUUUUGGUUGAUAUAAUUUAGGUCCCAUUGCUAUGAUCUUGAAUAAGAAGUUUUGAAUGAUUUAUAUUUUUCUUAAUACUAGAUUUAUUUUUCAGAAAUUAACCAGUAAUAUUGUUCAUAUUAGAUUUGACAAGUUAGGUUGGGCCUAUUAGAGACUUAGUUUUAUAACUAUAUAUAUUAGGCUAGGAUCAAAAUAGGCAACUAGAAAUGUUGUGUGGGCACGUUUAAGCAUCUAGAAAU